CCUACGGGAGGCUGCAGUGGGGAAUAUUGGACAAUGGGGGGAACCCUGAUCCAGCCAUGCCGCGUGUGUGAAGAAGGUCCUCGGGUUGUAAAGCACUUUCAGUGAGGAAGAACGCCUGGUGGUUAAUACCCAUCAGGAAAGACAUCACUCACAGAAGAAGCACCGGCUAACUCCGUGCCAGCAGCCGCGGUAAUACGGAGGGUGCGAGCGUUAAUCGGAAUUACUGGGCGUAAAGCGCGCGUAGGUGGCUUGAUAAGCCGGUUGUGAAAGCCCCGGGCUCAACCUGGGAACGGCAUCCGGAACUGUCAAGCUAGAGUGCAGGAGAGGAAGGUAGAAUUCCCGGUGUAGCGGUGAAAUGCGUAGAGAUCGGGAGGAAUACCAGUGGCGAAGGCGGCCUUCUGGACUGACACUGACACUGAGGUGCGAAAGCGUGGGUAGCAAACAGGAUUAGAUACCCGUGUAGUC
rnacentral:rRNA from 1 species